rnacentral:sRNA from 1 species
CAAAGGAGGUAUCAGAAGUCCUAAGUUGAAUUGGUCACAAGAAUAUCAGCGCCGCUAAAAUUGCUUUCGUGGUCCAUUCCGACUAUGUCCGGUGUCGGAUUACCUUCUGCUUGCUUCGCUCUCUUGAAGGAAUCUGGAAUGGGCGCCUAAAGCAAAGCAUAAGUCAAUGUCUAUCUCUACAAGAGAAAUUAACCUAGAAAGUGAAAAUGAUAACGAACAAGGAAAAGCAAGAAUAAUACCUCGGGGAAGUCAACACAAAAAGCGUUCAUAUUUAAUCCAUAUAAGAAGCUAGCGAAGUUCUCAUUAAACCGCGACAAGCUCUCAUGCAUUAGCUGGAGAUGCAUAAAAUUGGCUUCGAGAUCUGCCAUUGAAUCUGCUAACUCCGCAAACUGGGGUUCCAGCGCGUUGACGGCUGGUUGGAAGACACCACCCUGAUUCAAACUUCCUCCGAAAGCGUAGGAAUCUCGAAUCGAGGUCCGUGAACCAGGCCGAAGCGGGGUUGUAGGUCGGGAUGAAGGACGCGGACGGGAGGUUGAUCGGUGUACCCCGCCUGAGUCCAUGACCAGGAAGUAAAAUGGGCAAGCGGGUGA